rnacentral:rRNA from 1 species
GACGAACGCUGGCGGCGUGCUUAACACAUGCAAGUCGAGCGGUAAGGCCCUUUCGGGGGUACACGAGCGGCGAACGGGUGAGUAACACGUGGGUGACCUGCCCUCAGCUCUGGGAUAAGCCUGGGAAACCGGGUCUAAUACCGGAUAUGACUCCAUGACGCAUGUUGUGGGGUGAAAGCCUUGUGCGGCUGAGGAUGGGCCCGCGGCCUAUCAGCUUGUUGGUGGGGUGAUGGCCUACCAAGGCGACGACGGGUAGCCGGCCUGAGAGGGCGACCGGCCACACUGGGACUGAGACACGGCCCAGACUCCUACGGGAGGCAGCAGUGGGGAAUCUUGCGCAAUGGGCGAAAGCCUGACGCAGCGAACGCCGCGUGAGGGAUGACGGCCUGGUGUAACU